rnacentral:misc_RNA from 1 species
AUCCCUCCCUUCGUCCUCCAAUCAAUUCACAGUACGAACAGAAGCGCAUAACUUCCAACGAUUAAGGCGCAGUCACAGACUAUACAUAUUGCUCCAUUCUACAAAAUUUUACGAGGCGUUAGAAUUCGUGCUGCGAUCGCUGGCGCUCAGAAAACAAAGUUAUCCAACGUCUGCGUGUCAAAAUUCUUGCUCGCAUUCUCCAACCUGUUCACGGUAUGAACAGAGGCGCGUGAUUUCCAAGAAUCAGAGCGUAAGGGACUCGUUACCUCGUUCGACGAAAUUCUUCCCUUUCGUCGAGGUGAGCACAAAGCGUGAAUUUUAUAGCCACCUCUUUGCACCUUAUUGAUCGUGACACGCGAGACCACUUUAUCUUUACGAAUACCGGUUUCCUUUCUAGUCGAUCUUUUACGCGAAUGAAGAAAAGCAAAGACAGAUCGAAAUUCCAGAAACAAGAUCUACUUUGAUACAAGUGUUCAAAUACCUUCGCCAAUAACUGCAUGCUUUAUACAUUUUACUAAU